CCUACGGGGGGCUGCAGUGAGGAAUAUUGGUCAAUGGGCGUAAGCCUGAACCAGCCAUCCCGCGUGAAGGAAGAAGGCGCUAUGCGUCGUAAACUUCUUUUCCAGAGGAAUAAAAUUUCGUACGUGUACGGAACUGAAGGUACUUUGGGAAUAAGCAUCGGCUAACUCCGUGCCAGCAGCCGCGGUAAUACGGAGGAUGCGGGCGUUAUUGGGAUUAAAGGGGUCGUAAGGGGGUGAAUAAGUAUGAAUAGAAAUCCUUCAGCUUAACUGGAGAACUGCCAUUGAUACUGGUAGUCUUGAGUACGGUCAAGGUAGGCGGAAUGUGUAAUGUAGCGGUGAAAUGCUUAGAUAUUACACAGAACACCGAUUGCGAAGGCAGCUUACUGGGCCAUUACUGACGCUGAUGCACGAAAGCGUGGGGAGCGAACAGGAUUAGAUACCCGAGUAGUC
rnacentral:rRNA from 1 species